rnacentral:lncRNA from 1 species
CCCACGAAGGGCUAACCUCCCCGUACCCACCUCACCUUAUCUGCAUCCCCUCCAUCCAAAUCACACAAACGAAAAUCCAUUUUUCCCCACCCGGCCACCUCUCUCCCCCUGAUUCCUCUGUCUCUCUCGCACCACAGCGUUGUCGCCGCCAACUCCGAUCCCAGGAAGCUCCAGCGGACUCCAACCCACUGCUCACGGUUCUGCCCCACUCCAUCUAUGUUCUCCUCUGUUCCUUCGCCUGAGGCCACCGCGCCCCUGCACGCGUGGCACGCAACAACCCUAGCCGCCACGCGUCGCCGGCGUGGCUCCGGCAGCUCCGGUUUAUCGACCCACUACCCCUGCGGCCCUGCCUCACCUCACGCGCGGCAGCACGCUCGAGCUUGACGUUGGUAUUCCGCCUCUUCUACCUCAACUCCGGUGUUGACGUUUCUGGUUCUGGUGUUUACACGCUCGAGCUUGACGUUGGUAUUCCGCCUCUUCUACCUCAACUCCGGUGUUGACGUUUCUGGUUCUGGUGUUUAUUUGAUUAGAUGUGAUUCACCAUGUGUUGAUCUGUACUAAUUCUGGAUGAGUACUCUGUUAUGCGUUAUGGUUAGAGUUUCCUCCUCCUAUUUAGAUGGAUCGAUGGAUAAUUAAGUAUUUUUUCAAGUGAAAUUAAUCAUUACAUACUAGCAUGUAGCAUGACCUGUUCAAAGAUCAGCGCAGUUUUUUCUUAUAAAAAGAGAUCAACUUAGUUCCAAUUGGAGUGAGAUAGUCGAUCAGCGAUAUAUCAUAUGUGACCAUGUAUGUCACUGAAGAACAUUACUACAAAAAUCAACAUGUCAGUGCAAUUAUGGGUCCAUGAUACUGGCAUGAUUAUUUCAAAUGGAGAAUCCCCAUCUCAAUAGGCUGAAUCGUUGUUUACUUGGUGUCACAUGUACAAUAUACUAAAUAAAUAAGUCCCACUCGCAUCGGUCUGUCCAAUUAUUUGUCUUUAUUCUAUAACCCUUUGCUCCAUCUACACUCACAGGUUCUGACAUUGUCUUUUACUAAGUGUGUGCUUCUGCUGUUUCUUAACAGAUCGAUGUACAACACUUAUGCAUUACAAUCAGGAGAAAUCCAUGCAGAAGAAGCCUGAAGAAUUAUUCAAGUUAUUUGUUUAUAGCAUGGUGAGGAUCCUUUCGCUAGUUCAUGUUACAGUAAGGAAAACAUGAAUUUGUAUCUUAUUCUUUUUUUUGGUUGAUGUAAUAUUUGUUUUCCCCUGGCAAAAAGUUAUAUUAGUUUCAGUUUCUUAUUCAGUUAAAAUGUGCACACUACAAUCUCGAAGUUUAUGCAAAAGCUCAGAUGGAAAUCAUUCUUACACUCAUGUUAUCCAAUAUAAAUUGUUAAAUAAUUGAAAAAAUUUGAAGGUGCGAUACAAGAACAUCAUACCUUGGUAUUCUCGUCACAUGUAUAUGACUCAUAUUGUUGAAAUCUCACCUCUAAAUCGAGUUUAGUGCUCUUUUUUGGAAAUAUAGGUACUUCUGAAUUCCUGCAAUCUCUGUACUAAUUUUGUAUUUCGUGGGGAGCCACAGAUAUUUCCAAAUACUAGAAUGAUGCAUGAUUGGUCAGCACACAAACUCUUGGCCAGGUUCCUCUCACAUCUUAUCUUGUUUGUAAUAUAUUCUUCUUAAACUGUUAACACGAUGAGCAUGUACUUGUUUCAUCCAAGAACGUAAACAUGAAAAGUAUUCCUCUUGUGCACUCUCCUUCCCUGACAUACAGGGCACACUACGGUGGUUGGAUGAUACAACCAUAAACAGACAGCUAAGCGAUCAGAUGCGGCGACUGUGCGAGUGUGUCAGGUAUGUCGAAUUCACUGAUCCCAAACUAUUGGAUCUGACUAGGAUCUCCUCUUCUCUGUAAUACUUAGGACCUUCUCCUCUACCUACUCGGGCCAACAGUUUCAGCAUCCAGCAACCAUGGUGACAAAGAUGAACGUACUGGAACUGCUCUAAGUUUCAACAUUCUCGGUAAACAAGUGAACUAAGAAAGCCAAUCCUACUUAGUAAAUGUUGGCAUAUACUAAUACGCUGGCACUACUUAGUUUGCAUGAAUGUUGUGGUCUUCUAAAUUGCUAGAAUAAUUUCAAGUAGUUUAGUAGGAGUCUCUGCUUGUUUAACUAGCCAAGUUUGAGUCUAAUUUGAUUAGGGUGAUUAGUUAGUUUUCCAACAUGUCUGGUUUGCAUGCCAUAAGCAUUUGUCUUCUUGGGUGGGUCGUAGUCCAUAUAUGAUUCAAUGAGUUUGCAUAGCUAGCUGCCUACAUGCUGUACUAUCAUAUCUUGUAGUUAGCAUGCUUUACUAGUCUAGGAAAGGGCGCUGGAGUCUGAGUCGUUUUAGAUGCUAUAAGUACGAGCAGCUUUAGAUUGUUUCGGCCAUGUAGCUGGUCAUAUCGUGUAACCAGGUCGUGCAAGUUUUUUUUCCAUAUUAGAACAAGGUCAUGUAAGAGUUUUGAUAUAAAAGAAGAAAGAGUACGUUAAAGUUUUUCAUGCACAUGUGUACAGCUAUUUUGAUGUUUGAUUCUGUGGGCAAAACCGAACAUAGAUUACUAAUACAUAUGCCAAAUCACCAGGUUACAGAGGCUCGAUUGUUCCAAGUCGAUGUUGUUGGCGCUAAAACAUAAAAGACUACUAGUGCCAAGCUGGAUUUACUAGGAGGUAUUUUCUGAUGGUAGUUCCAUAUUGCGUGAAUGAUUCUUCACCAGUUUGAAUGGAAAUUUUGGAGUAUUAAUAGCAUACUUGACUAUAUUUUAUUAUCUUGCACAUGUUUCUCUCUUUUUUCACAUAAUUUGUACAAGCGAACACUUUUCUUGCAUGUGAAAAUGGUCGUACUGCUUAUGUGAGAUAAGACUCUUUGCGGCUAGAUUAGGUAAAACAAUUCAUCAACUACUGUAUGCCUGCCUUACAAUCCCCAACCCCUAUAAAACACUUUGUUUCUAGUAACAUGGUGAAACUUAAUAAUGAAAUUAGCUGAGUUAGUUUACUGAGCUAAAAUGACUAUUAUUAGCUACAAAUGUGAUACUGGAUAAAUCCGAACAAGAACCCUGCUUUUACUUCAAUCCAAAGGAUCAACCCCGAAUAUAAAGCUAAAGUUGAUGUUGUUAAACUUGGUAAUGAAUUCAUGGUAUUGUGAGCUGAUGCUAUAUUAGCAGAAUCUUAUUAGUCUCUACAACUACAAAAAAGGUCAAAAUUAUUAGUCACGCAGCAAGAUUAAUUAUCACAUUUCUUCAACUUUCUAUGUUGCUCCUCCUUUCAAUUUUUCUGCCCUAUUAACCUAUUUAAUUUCUUUGUUGUAGAUUGCAAUAUUCGAUGACGCAUGGCUCAGAUGUUGGUUGCAAGGUCAAGAAUAGGGGUGCUACUAGAUAGUUUCACAUUAUGCCUUAGAAUGCCAUUUCCAGUGCCAAUGUUUCAAUCAUUAUGUUUCGGAUAUUUUUGGUGUCAAUAUUUCGAUCAUUAUGUUUCAGAAUGGCUGACACGUUGGCUGCAAGGUCAAGAAUGAGAUUACUACUAGUUUCACAUCUUGUAAUUUUUGUAUGGUGUACUUUGUAAUGCAACCAAGUUGAUUUAAUAUAUGAGAAAUUUCCGUUUAUUAUACUGUGUCCCUUGUGUAAUACCGAUAUUGUCUAAUUCUAGACGCUGAUGUAUAAAUAUCAUGUAUUUUUUAUGGAAUGCACUAGUAUUGUAGUACUCAUUUAUAAUCAUGUUCUGUUGGGUAGCCACCAACGCAUGUGAACCGUUGUUGGGCUCUAACUCUAUACGUUGCUAUCUUACAACACUUAUUCAGGCCGUUUACCAACGGAUGC